AUUAAUUAAUAUAAAUAUUGUUUCUGCUAUCUAUAGCGAAUUAGUAAUGUCAUCAAUUAAUGUAUUUCAUACACUAUGUGAUUAUAUCUUUCACUUUAUAUUUUUGACAUAGUAGUUAGAUUAUAUAUGAGAUCAGAGUGAAAGAAUGUCAAUCAAAGAAAUUUUAAUUUUUCUGUCGAGGAAGAAGACAAAUAUGGUGUCAUAAACAAAUGAAAAAUGUAUAUAUAAGAAGAAGAUAAAUCAUAGAUAAAUUCCAGUUCAAUGCAGAAAAAGUGGAAGAGAGCGAGAAAAAGAAAGAGAGAGAGAGAGAGAGAGAGAUAUAGAAAUAUAUAGAAUAUUUUUAUUUGAUCAUAAGGUAUUUUAGCUUUAAAGAAACAAUGUAUUCCAUGGAAAGAAAAACGAGAUUUAUGUUUGUUAGUUUAACAAAAUAAUCUCAUCUCUCUCAAAAUUCUAUUGAACCUAUAAAAAGUGAUAUGAUCAAAUAUGAUGGUACUGAAGAUAAUUUAAAAUAUAACAUAAAUUUCUUAGCCUUUUUCCAAUUGCUAAAUUAAAAGAAAAAAAUGAAAGAUUAUUUGUCUACACCUAAGAAACUUAAACUUGAUAUAGGAAACAUAAAAAAUUUCAAUGGGAUAUAAUUGUAAAUACGUCAUAAUAUUGAAAUUAUUAUGAUAGUCUACUUUUUAUGAUUAUAUUUAUAUUUAAUAGUAAUUUACAAGUAUGUAUCUAUAGCAUACCAUUUUUCUUAUUCUCUUGCACAGACUACAUUAUAUACGAAAUUGAAUAUAGUACAGUUUAUAUAAAUAUACUUUUGAUGCUUUUAUUUAUAUGAUUUAUAUAAGACAUAUUUCGUAUAUAAUAUGUACAUGAUAAUGUAUUGAAAAAGAAUUAAUUUUAUAAAUAUGAGAAUAUUGGCUCUAUAAUUGUCAUAUUAUAGAUAACUCAUAUAUAGUAUUGAUUCGUUCAUAUGACAAUAUUUUAUUAGGAAAUUAAUCAUAUUUGUAUUGUAUUUUUCUUUAAAAUUUUUAUUUGUUAUAAAAGUUAUAUUUAUUAUUUGUUUACUAAUAAUUAUUCUCUCUUUGUAAAAAGGGGGUACAUAUACAUCGUGAUUAAUACAAGGAUCACUCGGGAAAUCUUCAUGCAUUAGAGUUUUUCUAUGACGGACAAGUACAAAUAUCGGUGUGCACCAUCGUUGAUACCGUCGUAUUUCAUCAAGCAUCCGACAUCGUACAUGAAAUACAAAAUAUCUCCAAUCCUUCUACAGAUUUACAAAAUGAUGAAUAGAAGGAAUAACACCUUUACAUACUAGACUUUAUGUUUUUUACAAUUGUUCAAAUUUCGCACACACACAUACACACACACAUAUAUAUAUAUAUAUAUAUAUAUAUAUAUAUAUAUAUAUAUAUAUAGAUACGUAUUACAUAAAAAUACUAUAUAUAUAUCGAUAUCAUCUGAAGUCUUAGGAACGAUCAGUAUCUAAAUCGAAAAGAGUGAACGAAGUCUAAUAUCCUCGCAACGAAUCGUUCAAAUUCUUGAGACGAAAUGCUUCGAUCUACGGAGAAAUCCAUUUUAGAUAUCCUCUACGGAAUUGAACACGCGGUGAGUAUCUUUCUCAACGAGAAACUUUAGAGUACCGUUCGAUCAUGGUUUAAAUUUUCUAUUAAGUUAAAUGAAACUUUAUACAGAAUAUUCUACAAUCGUAAAAAAUGAAAUUACAAGAGAUUUAGCUAAUAUGAACGCUAAUACCUAUCCAAUGGAAUUUCAAGCUAAUAUAGCAUUCUAUUAUUGUCAACUGAAAUACUCAUGUGAACCGUGAAACCAAAUUGUUUAACACUAUACCAUCCAAGCAAGAAUUCAUCGACAUUUACUAUAUCUGCUUGACGUUCUCGAUCAAUCCUAUUCUUGAUCUGUCCAUUUUCAUUAAGGCCUGUCAAUCUUUGGAUGGCCUCAAUUAAAUCGGCCAACGGCCGAGUUGUGAUCGUUAUCGUCGAAAUCUGAAAACGAAUAUGUUAAACGAAUCAAGCUUGUUUAUAAUCGAUAUAAUGUUUGACUCGUGCGUCGUUAUAAGUUUCUCGACGUAUACGUGUAAAUGGAACAUUCCGUGAGACGGAAGUACAUCGAACUUAUCUAAAUUGAGUCCUCGUAGUGCCACCGCAGUUAGAUUAGUCUCUCCUACAUAUAGAUCUGUCCGUCUGUCCGUACAUUCAUCCUGUCUGUCUGUCUGUCUGUUCGUUCAUCCGUCCGUCUGUCCGUCCGUCCGUCUGUUCGCCUGUCCGUCCAUCCAUCCGUCCAUUCGUCUGUUGGUCCUCGCUAUUCACUACUGUUACCGUAGGAACUAACGUGUCACUGCAUGCACCGUGAAAUUAAAUGAUCUCGAUUAACAGAAUCGACCGGAGUAUGCGUUCAUCGCCGCUGGUGAACAAAAGUGGAUUUUCGACAAUCUCUUGGGAAAAUAUUCCUUUCCUCUUUUUUCUUUUUUCUUUUUUUUCCUUUUUUUCCUUUUUUUUUUUUUUUUUUUACACACCAUGCAAUUAUUUAACGUUUCGAUCUCACGAAAAUAUCCAUGGUUGCAUAAUCUCUCAAACGAAAGUGUACAAGAGAAUAAGGACGCACACAAACGAAAUUUUAGAUGUAAAGAAAGAAAAAAAAAAGAGAACAAAGAAAAAGGGCAAGCAAAUAAGGAUAUAUUAGGUUCUUUUUUUUUUUUUUUGUUUUCUUUAACAAAUAUCAGAAAUCGCGCAAAUUGAGUAUGAUUAUAUGAGAAGGCGAUAUCAUGAUAUUCUCGAAAUUCAAGCAGUCGUUCUGUUCUGAAGAAAACACCCGGUAUAUUGAAUAGGAUGAAGGAUUGUGGUGAAAAUGCGACAGAACUUCUAAAUCAUUAUUUCAUUUACCACCGGUUGGCACUUUACUUUUCUUGUAUACAUAGAAAAUAUACAAACAUAUUACUAUAUAUAGUAUAUAUACUCACGUACACUUCUUUCAUGGUCUAUUUUAUUUUUGAUACCAAUAAAUCGUCUAGCAGUACACGCACAUGAAGUUUCACUUAAAGCAUGUUGGAACGGUCACGAUUGAUUCCAGACAUAUGUAAUAUCGUUAAAUCUACGAUCUAUCGUUAGAUUUCUUGAAACUACGUGGAAGUCCUAAACGACUUUUCAAAUAUUAUAAUUCCUUCUUUUCUUCAUUUUGUGAAUGAUCGAUCGUGAAGAUUUAUUCGUUUUAAGCUUUUCAUUAUCAAUGUCCAUUCGACAAUACGCGUCGCUAUUUUUUUUUUUCUUUUUUUCGAGCAUAGGUUGCAAUAGCAAUAUCGUUUCGAUUCUCAGAGCUUCGUAUUGUUCGUAAUGAAAAAAAUAUAUAAUAGUUUAUAUGCAUAUAUAUAUAUAUAUAUUUUUUUUUUUUUUUUAAUCGAACAGAAUCUACAUAUAUCGUCAUCCGAUAGAGAUACGAGCUUUGUUAUAUCGUCAAGCUGACAAUCAUGAAUAUAUCCAGUGAUUGACACCAAUAGAGUUAAAUAAACUAGAUAAAUUUUACGUUUAUCUUCGAUUUAGCCUGUCAAAAAAUUCAUUGGUUUUUAAAAAUCAAAUAAAUAGAUCAAAUUUCUAUGAUAAAUCGUACGAAUUUGUGGCAAUAUUUGAUCCAUAUAUUUGUUUCUUCGUAGAGCUAUAAUGGAAGAUACUCGUGCAAGAUUUCUGGUGUUAGAUCGCGAUCAUAAAUGCACGACUGGGAUCGUCUUUUAUUAUCUCAUAUAUUUUCAAGUACAUAUAAGACUACAGUCAUCAAUCUUCAUCUGCCCGGCAGUAAUUUAAUUAGUUCACGUUUUCCGCUGUAUAAAUAUUCUCGUACGUAGGAAGGUAUAUAUCUUAGAGGUUCAUUGCUUCGGCCAUCCUCUAAAAUAAAUGCAUAUUCAUGAUACGCAUAAACAAGGGAAGACUAAAGGAUGUAUAAAUACAUUUAACUUACGUAUUUGUAUAUCCACAUUCGAGGCACAUCUACUGAUACCUAUAAACACUCGAAACUUUUAAGAGAUUCAUUUUGGAGUUAAGUACCGUACAACGUGGCACGUAAAUGAUUAAGUCGAUUAUACGAGGAAUGCCUGGAAUUUCGGUGGGAGGUUUAAUUAGAUCAUCAAUGAGUACAAUCGGCGAUUGGAAAACGAUCGGUGCCCGAAGGGAAGUGCCUUUAUCGAGGGAUGAUAAACUGUAUUCGAAUAUAUUCGCAAAUUGAUUUUUUUAUCCAGUCGCAAAUUCGAUAAAUUCAUUUCGCGAAUAUUGUUAAAAAUAGUAACACUGUGAAUUAGUGUGUGCCAAAGUAAAAAAUUGUUUAACAUUAUGCGAAAUCAAUGUUCGGGUUGCAUAAUAAUAUAACUUCAUAAAGGAUAAUUGGCAAUGUUAUUAUUUUUACGUAUAAUGAAUAUGGAUUUAUGAGCUUUCGAUUUUGAUACUAAUCAUAUUAAUAUCAAGAUACAAUAUAUGUGAUUUUUGUACUAAUCAGAGACAUGGAUAAUUAUUUUCCCUCGUUAAAUUUCACAUUUUCUAAGAGUUUUUUUUUCUCGAAGAAUAAUAAAUAAAAAAUUAUAUAUGAAAUGGCCGAACAACAUGGUACGAAUUAAUAUAUCUGUCAAAAUAUUUGGCAGAUUACUAGGAGCAAUUUGUGAUCACCAUAAAUAAAUAAAUUUCAAAGGAUAUGAAUAUGUUGCCGUAUUACACGACAUCGCCGUGGUUAUUUUACGUAAUCGGUAGAAUAUCUUUUGUAGUAAAAUCAAGUUUUAAGCGAGAGCUGAUUCGCUUUAAAGUAAUUAGGAAUAUAGAAAUAUGUACCAUGUCGCUUAUUGAAAUAAUGUGAAUCAACCUGCGCGACCUCACGUUAUUACCGUGACGGAAUUAGCUAACAAUUCUCUGUGCUAAUUACUUCAUAAUUUGUAGUUGUAAUAAGAUUAAUUUUAAUACUAUGAAAUACGAUAGCGUGAAGCUUGUAAAUUCCUAAAAUACAUGAAAUUCUUUUCAUAUUUUCAGGUAUGUAGGUAGUACGCUCGAUAGGUUCGAGCUGACCGUUCCGACUAAUUUCGCAUGUCGUGCCAUGAUAUGUAGAAGCCAGUUUUAUUGGCUUUAGACAAGCGUGUACGAUAUCCGUGGCAAUUUUUCACGUAAGCUUUCCAAAAUUUGCAGUAGCCUGCAGUCUCGCGAAACAAGUAAUGAGCAGUUACGAACGCUUACAAUGCGACUAUUUCCUCCCUAUAUACGCGUAUAUGUACGUACAUUGGGAGUCCAUUUCAAAGUUGCGCGGUCAGUGAAUUUGUAACGGUGCGCGUAACAAUGUUAUGCACAUUUUGUCGAAAAAACAUCAAGGAUAAUAACAAUAAAGAUAAUAAUAAUAAUAAUAAUAAUAAUAAUAAUAAUAAUAAUAAUAAUAAUAGUAAUAAUAAUGAUUACGCUAUCGCAAGAAAAUCCCAAGCUUGGGGGCGGACUACAUAUAUAUUAAGAUAUUGGGACAGGGGUUGAAAUGAAACAUGAUCGUAAUAGCUAUAUACUGAAUUUAUGUAAUUCGGAUGUGAAAUCUGAAUCGAAAUAAUAUACGGAUGAUCUACGAUUAAAUGUCGCUCUCGCUUUUGUAUAAUAGCUUUCGCUUUUGUUCUUUGCAUGAGAGACGAAAAGACACGGUUAACGUCGGCAUCGUAGUGGCUAAUUAACUUACAACUCGGAAUUUGUACGCUCGUAAAGUCGUUCUUGCUUUCGUUUUAAUUCCGAAUAUACAUAUAUAUAUAUAUAUGUACCUUAGAGAAGAGGGCGAACGAGUUUUCACGUCGCAUAAAUCGACGAAGAAGGGCGCGGUUAGUAGCGCGCGAUUGCUAAAGAAUUAUGGGAAACGUAGUUUCGUUUCCAGAAUGCUAAUUUCAAUAAUAGUUUCACGCGCUACUCUUUUUGCGGUCGUAGAAAAUGAACAAAAGAAAGAUAGUGAGUGAGAGAGAGGGAGAGAGAAAGGGGAGGAGAAUAGGCGACGUUUAUAUAACACAAAACAACACAACGUAACGUGACACAACAAGGGGAAAGAGAGUCGAGUUCGCUCAUGCGCGCGUGCACGCGAGCGCACGUUUAGUGUCGAGCUAUUAUUCGGCAGUUAACGAGGCAAAAUGCUCGUGACGAUAACGCCGCGGGGGUAGCUCCCAAAGCCAGCCAAUAAUUAUUACACGACUCCACGAAGCGGUUAUUGUCCCAAUUCGGGGGUCGCUUUGCGGAUAAUGGCUGCGCUCGAGAGGUCAUGUGAGCCUGACGUUCCAGCAUGUCAACAGCAACUAUGCAUCAUCGGAUGUCUGGCGCACGUAAACGCGUCCUCCACCCCACCUCCUAACUCCACCUCCUCAUCUGUUCGCCCUCCGCAUGCUAGCGAUUUCCUCCACCUCGUAUCUGCUAUCCGCUUCUCCACCAUAUCACUCGACGCUUGUGCAUCCUCCGUCGGAUAUACAGGCGAGCUCGUUCAUUAUAAUAAACAGACGAUCGGUCCCAGGUGAUAUAUCGAUUCGAUUUUACAUCCUGUAAGAUUUUGAUUUUCCAUUCGGCCGACGACGAUGACGAUGGCCUUGGUACGGUUACUAUACGACACUAUCAUUUAUUCGAAACAAUAUAAACGACAAUAUAUGUAUAAUGUAAAUAUAUUUUGUAUAUAGAUAGGAAAGUUUCACAAUCAUGAUAGUUUCGAAUAGAUCAAUGUGUACAUAAUUUCUCUCUCUCUCUCUCUCUCUCUCUCUCUCUCUCCAUCUGUACAAAUAUCGCUUAAGAAAGAUGAGAUUUUGUUCGAUAGAAUCGAUUUGUUUGUUAAUUUUAAUCCAAUGGAAUAAAAGGAAACCUAUCGAUUAACAUUAUUUUUUUAUUAAAGAAGAAAAAAGUAUAGUAUUCGAUUCGAGUGCGAUAAUAAUUGCGCAAGUUUGAAUUUUCCCGCGUACAUUUUCGCGGUCUUCGCACACGCGGCUGUAAUAAUCGACAGAGCUUUGAAUUUCGCUCAAUGGACGCUACUAACAAUAAGUUUUUAUGAAAUUUACGUUCUUGUCAUAAUCACAGGUAAUUAAUAUAUAUUGUGCGUGUUCCUGGAAAUUCACUUUCAUUCAAGAACGUAAACAAAACGUGACGAAGCGUUCGACCUUUUAGUAAAUAAGAAGAAUACUGCUAUCCUCAAUAUAACACGAUGGCUACAUCAUGACAACACACUCUGCUUUUCUGCGCUGACUAAAGAUAGGAAAGGACGAAGCUGUGGUUGAUAGAUUUUCGAUCGAUUUUCAUCAAGUCGAAGGAGAUCUCAUUAAACACGACAUGUAAUCUAUAACAUGUAAUCUGACACAUGUAAUCUUAGACCUGUAGUUCUCUAUAUGCAGCAACCUCCACAUGGUGAGACAUCGGUACUACUUACGAUUUAUCAUUAUUUAUAUCAUUUAACGCAAGUAUUUAUUAAAGAGCGUUAACGAAUAACAUUUCGCCAUGUUUUUGGAAUUAAUUUUUCCAAAAUUAUUUAUUGCAAAUGUGUGUUAUUUUUAUUACGUUAUAUAGUUAUUUAAAUCUAGUGAAAAAUUGUAUAAGAUUUCAUGCGAUAUGAAUUAAUUUCUAUAGAAAUAUUUUUCUACUUCAACUUUGAUAAUUUUUAAUAUUAUUAAGAAUUCUUUUAUGUACAUCUAAUAAAGGUUAAAAUAAUAAAAUAUUUUACUUUGAACGAAAUCCGGAAAGUUACUCUAAAAAGUGAUCGAUUUCAUAUUGAAUGACCCUUUUGAAAUACCGAUAUGACAAGGUCCGGCACGUGAUCGUACUACGUACGUUUCUUUAACGCGAAGGAAACGAAGCUAAUGCGGUACAAGUCUGUGAAAUUGCGUAAAGUUAUAGAAAAUGGAUGAAAGGGAUUAGGAGGUGUGGCACGUUUCUUGGAGGCUGCGAAGUGUUCGGGAGAGAAAAUAAGAAUGAGAGGUGAGUUAAUACGAGCCCCAUUCUAUCUCUCUUUCUCUUUUUCCUCUUUUAGCUCCACUUUGUCUUGCCUUAACCCAUACAUAUCUCCUAUCUCCCUCCCUCCCUCUUUCUCUCUCUCUCUCUAUCUAUCUUUCUCUUGCUCUCUCAUUCUUCUCACCUUUCUACUCUAGGCGGUACUUGGUCUCUCUCUCUCUCUCUUUCAUACACCGAAACUUGAGCAAAUGUGUGCGGUCAUAUAUACGUUUAAGCGCCGUACAAAGUGCAGGCUCGAGCCUGGCUGCAUAUCUCUACCCUAGGAAUUGGAGUGGAUGGCGAACGUGGGUACAAUAGUUCGCAUUGUAUUGGAUCUCGAGCGAUAGGCUGUCCUUCUCUUUCUCUUUCUCUCUCUCUCUCUCUCUCUCUCUCUCUCUGUCUCUCUGUCUCUUUCUCUCUCUCUCUACUCCUCGUAGGUUCUCUUUUACCGUUUGGUAUCCAUCCUGUAACGAUUCCUUCCCCGCUUUCACGGUAUCUCAUUUUACGAAGGCUUCGCUAGUACGUUAUUAUGCGCGUUAUGCCCGAUAGUCUUGGCUAUCUAUGGUCCACCUACUACACAUACCUAGAUACAUACAUAUGUUCAUACGUCAGUACCCCCAUUACGAAUGCACUACCACUAACGUGCAUCUCAUAGCAGCCCCGUUUUGUAUCCCUCUAAAUCGGUAGUCGAUCGAGCUCCGGUUUAAGUGGCCGUACUCGAUGCGUGUCACGAAUGGUUAGAUGGGGAGCAGAUCGUUCCGAUCUACCAAACAAAUGGACGGAUCGAUGGAUCGAUCGAUCGUUCUCGUAAUCGUCGUUGCUUUCGUUGUCUCGAUCGUUACACAUUCGCGAACCGGCGUUAAUGUUGAUUUUGAGCCACGCAUCGACGUCGUUUCCGCGUCUGCUUCGAAUUAAUUCCUCGAAUAUUCCCUUCUCUUCUCAACUACUCACUUUCUAUAUCUCUUUCUCUCUCUCUCUCUCUCUCUCUCUCUCUCUCUCUCUCUCUCUCUCUCUUUAUCUCUAUUUCUCUCUUCCCGUUUUAAUUCCCCCUUCCUUCUCACCUAUUCAUCCCAGAUAGGAGCGUAGUGGACGUAUGGCUAAUUGUAAUUUAAUUUUGCGUUUAAUUGUAUCGUACGCUGAUGAUGCUAUUACACGCUCCAACACGUUCAAGUCUUUUCAUAGGACAUUAUGAUCGAAUAUAAGUAUUUAUUAAAUGAUCUCGUUAAUUUCGAGAUAUUCCUUAUUUAUAAUAAUUAAAUUGAUCAAUUGCGGAUAAAUUCUGUAAUAGUAAACCUAUGCUGCACGAUAGUUUUCCUAAUUGAAUUAAAAUUGUGUCUAUUGUAUUCGAUCUUGAUGUAUAUUAAUUAGAUUCUAUUUAAUCUGAUCCGACGUACAAGAUAUAGUCUGAUCAGAUGUACGAAGCUAUUCCGUUAAUUGAAUUAAUACCGAGUCAACCGUGUAUAAUAGGUGAUAGAGAGAAUAGCACAAAGACAAAUGUAAUUGGUUCCCCUUAACGCUUUGGUAUAAUUAGAAAGACGAGAUAUUUUAUUUAUUUCUGUUACGUCUAACCUGUUACUUUGCUCGAGAGAAUCGUCGAAAAUGUAGAAACGCCCAUUUCCAUAAUCACCGUGGAAGUUCGUUAGGAAAGCACCGUGAAAAAUGGAAUUAUCGUGAAACCGCGGUCACUGCCAAGUUGUAAAGGGAGUUAAACGGCCUUCGUUCGCCAAAUAAUUGAUGCACGUCAAUUAGAUUUGUCAGAGGGCUAUCGUUGUAAUUAAAUCAACAGGAACGCGAAGCACGAAUGCACAGACGAUGAACGUAUGUAUUGUAUGUUCAUACGCGUAUAUAAGUACACCUAUGGGUGUGCUCGUAACUCGUAGUCUCUCCUGUGAAAUUUAAAUUUCUCCGAUAGUGGACAAUGUUAAUUUCGUUUGAAUCGAUGUUGCAAUUUGCUUCUCAUCUUUUUGUUAAUGAAAGUAAUAAGAUCCACCUUUGACUCCGUAAAGUU